rnacentral:rRNA from 1 species
AGCGAACGCUGGCGGCAGGCCUAACACAUGCAAGUCGAACGCACCUUCGGGUGAGUGGCGGACGGGUGAGUAACACGUGGGAACGUACCUUUAGGUUCGGAAUAACGCAGGGAAACUUGCGCUAAUACCGAAUGUGCCCUUCGGGGGAAAGAUUUAUCGCCUUUAGAGCGGCCCGCGUUAGAUUAGCUAGUUGGUGGGGUAAUGGCUCACCAAGGCUACGAUCUAUAGCUGGUCUGAGAGGANGAUCAGCCACACUGGGACUGAGACACGGCCCAGACUCCUACGGGAGGCAGCAGUGGGGAAUUGUUCGCAAUGGGCGCAAGCCUGACGACGCAACGCCGCGUGGAGGAUGAAGAUUUUCGGAUCGUAAACUCCUGUCGAAUGGGACGAAAAGGUCGCGGAUUAAUA